GCUGCAGGAAGAUACUGAACUGUUCCACAUUUCCCUGUUUGGUCAAGAAACCUGCCAGACAUUUGUGUCUGUCAACAUCAUUGAUAAUGAUGUUUCUAUCCCACAGUGGUCCGAAUGGGCUGAUGAUGGAACCUGCUCUACAACCUGUGGAUCUGGGUUACUGAUGCAGUCUCGGACACGGAACUGUACUGGUGCCUGCCCAGCUGAGUUUACACCAGUGGAGACGAGAACCGUCAUUUGUAGUAAUUCUCCAUGUCCAGUUAUCAGUGAGUGGACCGAAUGGGCUGAUAAUGGAACUUGCUCUACAACCUGUGGAUCUGGAUCACUGAUGCAGUCUCGGACACGGAACUGUACCCAAUCUACCUGUUGCCCAACCGACUUUACAUCAAAUGAGACGAGAACAGUGGAGUGUGAGCUUUGUUCCU